rnacentral:rRNA from 1 species
AACGAACGCUGGCGGCGCGCCUAAUACAUGCAAGUCGAGCGAGAAGACGUAGCAAUACGUUUGUAAAGCGGCGAACGGGUGAGGAAUACAUGGGUAACCUACCCUCGAGUGGGGAAUAACUAGCCGAAAGGUUAGCUAAUACCGCGUACGCUCCUUGGACUUCGGUUCAGGGAGGAAAGCGAUACCGUGGGUAUCGCGCUCUUGGAUGGGCUCAUGUCCUAUCAGCUUGUUGGUGAGGAACGGCUCACCAAGGCUUCGACGGGUAGCUGGUCUGAGAGGACAAUCAGCCACACUGGCACUGCGACACGGGCCAGACUCCUACGGGAGGCAGCAGUAAGGAAUAUUGCGCAAUGGGCGAAAGCCUGACGCAGCGACGCCGCGUGGGGGAUGAAGGUCUUCGGAUUGUAAA